UUGCUCUGGCAGCACAUAUAUUAAAACUGGAAAGAUACAGAGAAGAUUAGCAUGGCUCUUGAGCAAGGAUGAUGUGCAAAUUUGUGAAGUGUUCCAUAUUCUU